AAAUUGAAGAGUUUGAUCAUGGCUCAGAUUGAACGCUGGCGGCAGGCCUAACACAUGCAAGUCGAACGGUAACAGAA
rnacentral:rRNA from 1 species